UCCUUAGGUGAACCUGCGGAGGGAUCAUUACCGAGUUUACAACUCCCAAACCCCUGUGAACAUACCAAUUGUUGCCUCGGCGGAUCAGCCCGCUCCCGGUAAAACGGGACGGCCCGCCAGAGGACCCCUAAACUCUGUUUCUAUAUGUAACUUCUGAGUAAAACCAUAAAUAAAUCAAAACUUUCAACAACGGAUCUCUUGGUUCUGGCAUCGAUGAAGAACGCAGCAAAAUGCGAUAAGUAAUGUGAAUUGCAGAAUUCAGUGAAUCAUCGAAUCUUUGAACGCACAUUGCGCCCGCCAGUAUUCUGGCGGGCAUGCCUGUUCGAGCGUCAUUUCAACCCUCAAGCCCCCGGGUUUGGUGUUGGGGAUCGGCGAGCCCUUGCGGCAAGCCGGCCCCGAAAUCUAGUGGCGGUCUCGCUGCAGCUUCCAUUGCGUAGUAGUAAAACCCUCGCAACUGGUACGCGGCGCGGCCAAGCCGUUAAACCCCCAACUUCUGAAUGUUGACCUCGGAUCAGGUAGGAAUACCCGCUGAACUUAAGCAUAUCAAUAAGCGGAGGA
rnacentral:rRNA from 1 species